GCGAACGCUGGCGGCAGGCCUAAUACAUGCAAGUCGAACGCACCUUCGGGUGAGUGGCGGACGGGUGAGUAACGCGUGGGAACGUGCCCUUUGGUUCGGAACAACACAGGGAAACUUGUGCUAAUACCGGAUGUGCCCUUCGGGGGAAAGAUUUAUCGCCAUUGGAGCGGCCCGCGUUGGAUUAGGUAGUUGGUGGGGUAAAGGCCCACCAAGCCUACGAUCCAUAGCUGGUCUGAGAGGAUGAUCAGCCACACUGGGACUGAGACACGGCCCAGACUCCUACGGGAGGCAGCAGUAGGGAAUCUUGCGCAAUGGGCGAAAGCCUGACGCAGCCAUGCCGCGUGAAUGAUGAAGGUCUUAGGAUUGUAAAAUUCUUUCACCGGGGAAGAUAAUGACGGUACCCGGAGAAGAAGCCCCGGCUAACUUCGU
rnacentral:rRNA from 1 species